GACGAACCGUGCGAACGUUAUUCGGAAUCACUGGGCUUAAAGCGCGUGUAGGCGGGACGGCACGUCGGUCGCUGAAAGCCCCCGGCUCAACCGGGGAACGGGCGCCGAUACGACCGGCCUGGAGGGACGUAGGGGGACCUGGAACUUCCGGUGGAGCGGUGAAAUGCGUAGAGAUCGUAAGGAAGACCAGUGGCGAAGGCGAGUUUCUGGACGGUAACUGACGCUGAGGCACGAAGGCCAGGGGAGCAAACGGG
rnacentral:rRNA from 1 species